rnacentral:rRNA from 1 species
AUUGAACGCUGGCGGCAGGCCUAACACAUGCAAGUCGAGCGAGCGGCGGACGGGUGUGUAAUGUAUGGGGACUGCCCGAUAGAGGGGGAUAACUACUGGAAACGGUGGCUAAUACUGCAUACUAUCGGAUAACCCAUAUGGGAUUAGCUAGUAGGUGGGGUAAAGGCUCACCUCGGCGACGAUCUCUAUCUGGUCGGAGAGGAUGAUCAGCCACACUGGAACGGUGACACUGCCCAGACUCCUGCGGAGGCAGCAGUGGGGAAUGUUGCACAAUGGGCGCAAGCCUGAUGCAGCCAUGCCGCGUGUAUGAAGAAGGCCUUAGGGUUGUAAAGUACUGUCAGCGGGGAGGCGUUACCCGCAGAAGAAGCACCGGCUAACUCCGUGCCAGCAGCCGCGGUAAUAC